rnacentral:tRNA from 1 species
GCCCGGGUGGCGCAACUGGCAGACGCGGCCCGCUUAAAACGGGCUGCCCCAACGGGCAUGUGGGUUCGAGUCCCACCCCGGGCACCA